GGCAGAUGCUGUCUUCUCUGGUGCCUCUGGUCCAAUCUGGUUCCUUGGAAUCCAAAGAAAACUCAACAUUCCUGUAGUGUCUGCAGGAGGCUUAAGGAGCUCUCUCCCCUGAAACACCGGAUUUCAAGGAAGGACUGGGGGAGUUGUGUGAGAUGCGGCUACACAUGAUCUUUGCGAUGAGACCACGUGUUAAGAGGAUGAUUU
rnacentral:lncRNA from 1 species